GGCUUGGAAGUGGAUGGUCCAUGCCUGUAUUCUGUUCCAACUCUGUUGCCACUUCCAAGCAGGGGGUGCCUGUUCGAAUCAGGCCCGAGCCA